rnacentral:piRNA from 1 species
UAAAGGCUUCUCGGAAUCACAUGGGC